CCUUUGUGUACCUAUAUUGUUGCUUCGGCGGGGCCGCCCCGGCGCCUUCGGGCCCGGAACCAGGCGCCCGCCGGAGGCCCCAAACUCUUAUGUCUUUAGUGGUUUUCUCCUCUGAGUGACACACAUUCAAUAAACUAAAACUUUCAACAACGGAUCUCUUGGUUCUGGCAUCGAUGAAGAACGCAGCGAAAUGCGAUAAGUAAUGUGAAUUGCAGAAUUCAGUGAAUCAUCGAAUCUUUGAACGCACAUUGCGCCCUUUGGUAUUCCGAAGGGCAUGCCUGUUCGAGCGUCAUUACAACCCUCAAGCUCCCCAGUGCCUGGUGUUGGGGAUCGCCCAGCCUUCUCGCAAGGCCGCCGGGAAAUCUAGUUCAAGCGUCGCUGUAGUCACGUCCUCCUCUGCGUAGUAGCACAACCUCGCAGUUGGAACGCGGCGGUGGCCAUGCCGUUAAACACCCCACCAGGUAGGGAUACUCUGAACUUAAGCAUAUCCCGCUGCGAGAUCAUUACCG
rnacentral:rRNA from 1 species